UGGGGAAUUUUGGACAAUGGGCGAAAGCCUGAUCCAGCAAUGCCGCGUGUGUGAAGAAGGCCUUCGGGUUGUAAAGCACUUUUGUCCGGAAAGAAAUCCUUGGCUCUAAUACAGUCGGGGGAUGACGGUACCGGAAGAAUAAGCACCGGCUAACUACGUGCCAGCAGCCGCGGUAAUACGUAGGGUGCAAGCGUUAAUCGGAAUUACUGGGCGUAAAGCGUGCGCAGGCGGUUUGCUAAGACCGAUGUGAAAUCCCCGGGCUCAACCUGGGAACUGCAUUGGUGACUGGCAGGCUAGAGUAUGGCAGAGGGGGGUAGAAUUCCACGUNUAGCAGUGAAAUGCGUAGAGAUGUGGAGGAAUACCGAUGGCGAAGGCAGCCCCCUGGGCCAAUACUGACGCUCAUGCACGAAAGCGUGGGGGAGCAAACAGGAUUAGAUACCCUGGUAGUCCACGCCCUAAAACGAUGUCAACUAGUUGUUGGGGGAUUCAUUUCCUUAGUAACGUAGCUAACGCGUGAAGUUGACCGCCU
rnacentral:rRNA from 1 species